rnacentral:rRNA from 1 species
UUAAGUGACUAAGCGUACACGGUGGAUGCCUUGGCAGUUGGAGGCGAUGAAGGACGUAUUAACUUGCGAUAAGCCUAGUCAAGCUAGUAAAAAGCACUUGAGACUAGGAUUUCCGAAUGGGGAAACCCACCUGCUUGCAGGUAUCUUGCACUGAAUACAUAGGUGUAAGAGGCGAACGCGGAGAACUGAAACAUCUAAGUACCCGUAGGAACAGAAAUCAACCGAGAUUCCGGAAGUAGCGGCGAGCGAAACCGGACCAGCCCUUAAGCUUAUUUUGUGUUAGUGAAACAUUCUGGAAAGUUUGACGAUACAGGGUGAUAGUCCCGUACACGAAAAUGCAAUCUAAGUGAAAUCGAGUAGGUCGGAGCACGUGAAACUUUGACUGAAUAUAGGUGGACCAUCAUCUAAGGCUAAAUACUCCCAACUGACCGAUAGUGAACCAGUACCGUGAGGGAAAGGCGAAAAGAACCCCUGUGAGGGGAGUGAAAUAGAACCUGAAACCGUGUACGUACAAGCAGUAGGAGCAUACUUGUUAUGUGACUGCGUACCUUUUGUAUAAUGGGUCAGCGACUUAUAUUUUGUAGCGAGGUUAACCGAUUAGGGUAGCCGUAGUGAAAGCGAGCGUUAACUGCGCGUUGAGUUGCAAGGUAUAGACCCGAAACCCGGUGAUCUAGCCAUGGGCAGGUUGAAGGUUGAGUAACAUCAACUGGAGGACCGAACCCACUAACGUUGAAAAGUUAGGGGAUGACCUGUGGCUAGGAGUGAAAGGCUAAUCAAACCGGGAGAUAGCUGGUUCUCCCCGAAAUCUAUUUAGGUAGAGCCUCGGACGAAUACUUACGGGGGUAGAGCACUGUUAAGGCUAGGGGGUCAUCCCGACUUACCAACCCUUUGCAAACUCCGAAUACCGUAAAGUACUAUCCGGGAGACACACGGCGGGUGCUAACGUCCGUCGUGAAGAGGGAAACAACCCAGACCGCCAGCUAAGGUCCCAAAGUCAUAGUUAAGUGGGAAACGAUGUGGAAAGGCCCAGACAGCCAGGAGGUUGGCUUAGAAGCAGCCAUCCUUUAAAGAAAGCGUAAUAGCUCACUGGUCGAGUCGGUCUGCGCGGAAGAUGUAACGGGGCUAAACUAUGCACCGAAGCUGCGGAUUCAUACUUUGUAUGAGUGGUAGGGGAGCGUUCUGUAAGCCGUUGAAGGUGUACCGGGAGGUAUGCUGGAGGUAUCAGAAGUGCGAAUGCUGACAUGAGUAACGAUAAUGCGGGUGAAAAACCCGCACGCCGGAAGACCAAGGGUUCCUAUCCCAUGUUAAUCAGGGUAGGGUAAGUCGACCCCUAAGGCGAGGCCGAAAGGCGUAGUCGAUGGGAAACGGGUUAAUAUUCCCGUACUUGGUAUAAUUGCGAUGGGGGGACGGAGCAGGCUAAACAAGCAUGGCGUUGGUUGUCCAUGUGAAAGUGAGUAGGUUGAGAGUUUAGGAAAAUCCGGACUCUUAAGACUGAGACACGAGACGAGCACCCAAGGGUGUGAAGUUGUUGAUGCCAUACUUCCAGGAAAAGCCUCUAAGCUUCAGAUUAUACCGAAUCGUACCCCAAACCGACACAGGUGGUCAGGUAGAGAAUACUAAGGCGCUUGAGAGAACUCGGGUGAAGGAACUAGGCAAAAUCGUACCGUAACUUCGGGAGAAGGUACGCUCCUAUCUGUGAUGAGACUUGCUCUCUAAGCGGACGGGAGCCGCAGUGACCAGGUGGCUGGGACUGUUUAUUAAAAACACAGCACUGUGCAAAAUCGCAAGAUGACGUAUACGGUGUGACACCUGCCCGGUGCCGGAAGGUUAAUUGAUGGGGUUAGUUUUCGGACGAAGCUCUUGAUCGAAGCCCCGGUAAACGGCGGCCGUAACUAUAACGGUCCUAAGGUAGCGAAAUUCCUUGUC